UACGUAGGGAGCAAGCGUUGUCCGGAAUCAUUGGGCGUAAAGCGCGCGUAGGUGGCCACAUAAGUCCGUUGUGAAAGUCAAAGGCUCAACCUUUGAAUGCCGAUGGAUACUGCGAAGCUAGAGUACGGAAGAGGCGAGUGGAAUUCCUGGUGUAGCGGUGGAAUGCGCAGAUAUCAGGAGGAACACCAAUAGCGAAGGCAGCUCGCUGGGACGUUACUGACACUAAGGCGCGAAAGCGUGGGGAGCCGAACAGG
rnacentral:rRNA from 1 species